ensembl:processed_transcript 9330154J02Rik RIKEN cDNA 9330154J02 gene
AUGAGAGCGAAGUUUCGGGUUACGGGACUCUUCCAAGCUUUUUUUUUUUUUUUUCCUUUUUGUACCUCCUUGGAUUAGUGUGGAAAGGGGGGCAGAGCCGUACAGCUGUUGCCUAAUCUCGACUCCCCAGUUCCUGGCCAUCCAGCUCCCGGAUCCCGAGAGGGUCCAGACAUCUCCAGAAAAACGGAGGGAACCCGCCAACAAAGCGGCCGUGGGACCGUGGGCGGUGUGGCAGCAAGGACCCCCCGCUCUCCUCACGCCCUAGUAUAGAAAGGAGCCCCGGUCCCGCCUCCAAGCUCCAAACCUGGCCGCUUGGUCCCCACUGCUCACCUCCGCACCCCGCGCCUGCAAAGCCAACGCCGAGGGCCACCCGAGUCCACGCGCCUUCCCGGCUCCUGCUGCGGGCGCCGACUCUCCUCUCACCCCAGCCCCUGGCCCAACCUCCACGGCUGGGAAAAACCAAGCCGGGGGGCGGGGGAGGGCCGGGGCUGCAGGAGAGAUCGCCACCGCGCUGCCCACCUCUGCUGCCCCAGGUGGAAGCAGAAGGAGCAAAAGCUCCAGCUCCUUUUUGGCUACGUGAUGACUUUGAGAUGACCUGGAGAAAGACCCUGUCUUGAAACAACCCCAAAAAGAAGAGCAGGCUGAGCCAUUGUCAAGACAGCUCAUCAGACAGAUCACUGGAAGAAAAAAACCUGACAACGCUGUCGCAAGAAAAGGAAACCACGGAGCGGGACCACGUACGGUUGUAGAUGUAGCAUCCUUCCGCUAAAUUAAACCUCAUCAAACCCAGAGAUAAGCAAAAGUGACUGUAAUCCAUGACUAUGCAGGAUUCACAUCUAGGAACACAAAGCUGCUUAAAUGAAAAGAAAUCGACUUUUGCAAUACAAAUUACCAAUGGAAACAAAAGGAAUAAAAAAAAAAACAGAAACAAAAUAUGCCCAUGCCAUCUGAUGCGGUAGAGUAUUUAGCAAUAUUCACCAUCCACUCUGACAAAAGAAAACACCCUACCUAAUAUAAAUGAAAGAAGUUCCCAUCCUGGCUAAGAGUACCAGAAACCAAGCGUAUUAACACCACAAAGCACACACCUACAAUGACAUGUAAUGGCAGAAGAUACGAUUUGCUGUUACGAAAAUUGAUGAUGGGGGAAAUAUGCUACAGCCUUAAACACUCAUAAAAUGAAAAGUUAUAUUUUGAAUUUCUUGUGAUUUUUUUUUACAUAAUAAAAAGUCAUAUCAUCAGAGAAUAGAGUUGGUUCUGUCUCUUCCUUCCUUCCUAGUCUGAGUGCCCCAUGGUCUUGCCUGAUUGUCUUAUGUGGCAUGCCCAAUACAAUCUUGAAAAAGAGCUAGGUAAGAGCAGACAUCCUUGUUUUGGUAUUUACUGUCAUGUGAAACCAUUCUGUCUUUAAGCAUUAAAUGUUAUUUUAGCUGUGGAGUUUUACUUCUUGCUGCUAUUACUGCUUUUAUACAUAUCAAUUAAAUAGAAUUUCAUUGACACAUC